rnacentral:rRNA from 1 species
UACGUAGGGGUCGAGCGUUGUCCGGAGUUACUGGGCGUAAAGCGCGCGCAGGUGGCUCGUUGCGCCCGGCGUGAAAGCCCCCGGCUUAACCGGGGAAGGUCGUCGGGGACGGGCGAGCUUGAGGGCGGCAGGGGCCGGUGGAACUCCCGGUGUAGAGGUGAAAUUCGUAGAUAUUGGGAAGAACACCGGUGGCGAAGGCGGCUCACUGGCUCGUAACUGACGCUCAUGCACGACAGCGUGGGGAUCAAACAGG